AAACAGGAAGUUGCCCAGCUCUUUCAUCUUUACAGUGGCAGCUGUUACAUACUAACUUAGCAGCUCCAUAUCGUCGUAUCGCUGACAUCUUUGUGUAUUUUUCUCUCACAUACGUUGAGACAGUGUGUUUUAGUCUUUCUGUUGUGUUUCAUACAUUUUGUUGGGAUAAAGAAGAAGUCCCUCUUUCACGGACUGUUUGACGGAGCCGAGUUUUUGUCUUUGAAAGACAACACGGUCACAGAAACAUGGCGAAUUACAACGAAGACAAUGACAGAUUUGCACCCCAACAUUUUGGCAAAGGCCGAGGCCCCUACAAGGGACGGUCGUUCCGCAGAGACCGGCAGCGGGGGAACCACCGUGGUGGAUGUGGAAGACCUGGAGUGUGGUCCAGGCUUUCCCUCAAUAGAGAUGUGACCAUGAGUGACAGCUCUCAGGAUGGCAGUUCUCAUCAAAGAUACAAUCCUUAUGGGAGAGUAUUUAGCAAAGGAGACGCCCGUAUGGACAGAGACUGGCCACAAGGCAAAGGUGGAGGUGGCGGCAGAGGAGGAGGAGGAGGAG
rnacentral:lncRNA from 1 species